ACUCAAAGGAAUAGACGGGGGCCCGCACAAGCGGUGGAGCAUGUGGUUUAAUUCGACGCAACGCGAAGAACCUUACCUGGGCUCGAAAUGUAGUGGAAUCCGGUAGAAAUAUCGGCGCCCAGCAAUGGGCCGCUAUAUAGGUGCUGCAUGGCUGUCGUCAGCUCGUGUCGUGAGAUGUUGGGUUAAGUCCCGCAACGAGCGCAACCCUUGUUACCAGUUGCUACCAUUUAGUUGAGCACUCUGGUGAGACCGCCUCGGAUAACGGGGAGGAAGGCGGGGAUGACGUCAAGUCCUCAUGGCCUUUAUGUCCAGGGCUACACACGUGCUACAAUGGCCGGUACAAACCGUCGCAAACCCGUGAGGGGGAGCUAAUCGGAAAAAGCCGGCCUCAGUUCGGAUUGGAGUCUGCAACUCGACUCCAUGAAGCUGGAAUCGCUAGUAAUCGCGGAUCAGAAUGCCGCGGUGAAUACGUUCCCGGGCCUUGUACACACCGCCCGU
rnacentral:rRNA from 1 species